UUAUUAUAUGUAUAUGUUUGUGUAUAAUAUAAGAAACUACUACUGGAUACAUCGCAAUUGCAAUCACUCACUUAAUUGGCAAUUAUGCUGUCAAUAGAUAAUAGUAUUUAUUUGAAAAUAGGCCAAAAUAUUUCCCCGUAAUGUUAUUCUAUUCAUUUUAGUAGGAUUUUUUCACUAUAAAAUAAUAAAUUAAGUUUAUUUCCCAAAUUAACAAAAGUGUUAAUGUUUCUGUUUACAUUGUACAAGCUAUUUUAUGCUUCUUUUUCUCAACUCAAAAGAAUUACGUCACAAGAUGACGGUUGGGGUAAUUUUGUAUACUAUAAUUCUUGCGGAAAACCAGCAGAAACUAGCAAAAGAAUAUCAAAAUGUUUUUUACAAUCACUUCAUAUCAACACUUGAAAAUCAAUCAAUAGAAUUUUUAUUUUCACAAUUCAAAACAAUGAAAAUAAACAAAAUCAAAGCAAUUGCGUUAAAUAUUGCUUGUACAUACAUAUACACAUAUGCUUUAACAGCUGUUUCUUCAUAUGGCCGUAGAUAUUUUCUGCUAGUAGAAAUUUCACUUUCAUUUUCUGGUGCUCUCUUCUGCUAGUGCCUCCUAGUAUUUUGGUCCAGUAGAAACUUUGUUAGCUUCUAUUUUUCAAGUAUUACUGAAAACACAAAAUAUUCUAUUGAAUCCCACAUAUUACAUUACAUAGGAUAUGUACAUAUACAUAUGUAUGUAUGUAUGUAUUUCCUUACCUUAAGGCCCUUACCUUCCGUAUACCUUCUAAACCGAAUUAAACGAUUGAAUAUAAGUAUCGCCUUUCAAGUUAAUUUCAUGAGUAUGUAAAUAUUAGUGUAUUAUUAGAAAUGUCAUCAGUUCACAUCUUUGUAAAGCCUUCAUUUAUCAAAUAUACCACUUUCUGCCACCUGAUUUUGUACGCUAGGUUUUAUAUGUACGCACAUAAAUUCAAUUAUCAAAGCAAACGUUUUUUCUACCUUUAACAACAAAUAAGUUCUUGUUUAUAUUUUUUUUCACAGUCAUAAUAUUAAGGUACUUCUGGCCGAGGACUAGCUUAUGGCGAAUAUGAAGUUUGAAGAAAUAUAUCCAUUCGGCUUAAAUUGCACACAAAUAUGUUAAACAAAUGUUAAUUAACUUAGAGUAUGAAAUACAAUGCUUUAUAAUUUUUUUCAGAUACACAUCUCAUAACUUUUUUUAUCUUUUAUGCCAGUUAGUAAGCGUCUAAUAACUUUGAUGUUCCCUGGCAGGUUAGGUUGGUGAUAGUGUGAUGUUUAGAUGUUUAGAUGUUUAAUAAAAAAACAGUAUUUUGAUGCCUUUGUAUUUAUUGGAAAUAUAUUUUUAACAUUAUUAAUAAAAGUUUAAGUUUUUAAAGAAAUAGAUGUAUCAUUAUUGGAUAAGUUCAUACAUACAUACAUAUCUUCACAUAAGUGUAGAUUUCAUGUAAAUUGAACAAACAAUUACUAUAAAAAUUUUAAAUACAAUAUUGCUCGAUUUUAUUUAAGUGUUAAGGUUUGUUGUUAAUCUUUUGGAUAUCAUAAAGUUUUUUAUCUGGUCUGGGUUUAUACUGUUAUGCUUAGUUGCUUAUAAUUAAUUGGAGUUUUUCUUCUUACAGUGAAUUUGGUUGAAAUGUGUUUACAUUUGCACAUACAUAUGUACACAUGUACGUAUGUACAAUAUGUAUGAGUAUUGCAGCGUAGUUAAAGAUAGGAAGAGCAUAUGUGUGGGGUGUAAGUCUAAUAAUUUUUUGACUAGUUGACAGUAAUUUUUUGACAAUAUAAUGAUUUGUGUACCUCUGGUUGACUUAUGAGAUGUUUUAAUAUUGCAUAUACAUACAUGUGUUUUUAACGAAUUAAUCUACAAUAUUAUAAAUAUUUUAUUAUAUGUGUUUACAUAUGCUCAUAUGUUAAAAGAGGCUGGCUUUGGAAAGAAAAUAUGUUCUAAGACCUGGACCGGAUAUUAAUUGGCAAGCUCAUCCACUAACUGCACAACAGGCAUGAAAACAAUGUGUGUAAGCAAAAAAUCGUCCAAAAAGGGAUCCAAACCGCUCACUUGAUUUCCGAGACGUGUUUCCAGUAAAUGUUCUAACAUCUUUGAUGGUGUUCCCGACAUGACCGUAUACCUGUUUAAAGUAAUCAUAGGUGUUAAGUGAUACAAUACCUUUUUACUAUUAUAGUCAAUUUAUUGUUAACGAUACAACUGUGGCGGCGGUACUUUGAUCACUAUUCGAAAGGAAGUGGGUCAUAUAUAAAAGACAUUUUUUCUGGCAUGACUAACAUUUUCUAUACGUUUCUGAGGACAGAGCUAAUUGACGAAUACCAGACGAUUCAAUUUAUUUUAAGCUCACAGCCAUAAGGGUAUAGCUGGGAGCGAUGGCGACUUUUUAGGACACCACAGAUAAACAUCAUGCAUAUUAACGAGUGGUAGAAAUGGUGUCAAAUGCAUUAAGCGAAUUUGAAGAAGUACUUGGAACUAGUACAAUUAACUUAUAAUAUACCAUAUUCAUGAAUAACAAGUUUACAUAGUAUGUAAAAACAAGGAAGAUAAAAUGGUAACUUACUUAAAUGCCGAAUGCUGGCCACGUUGCUUAGCCACUCGCUCCAACACUAAAACAUCCUUGCCGUGUUCUUGAAGUCUCAACGUGUUGGCCUCCACAUCGCGUAGAAUACGAUUGAAAUGCUCCUUAUCAACUCGUAAAAGAUGACAAUUAUUCUCCUUUAAGACGAUUGUUGCAGCUCUAAGAGGAUUUAAACAGGCUUAGCUCACAUCAAAAAUGUUCAGAUCAACAUAUAUACACAUAUGCAUACAAGUAUACAUAAUAUUUAUUAUUUUAUUCAUGUUUUGUCGCCCAAGCAGGCUAAGGAGAUAAUAGAGGGUUGGCGAGGAGAUUUCUUACUUUUCGAACGAUAAUGAAAUAAUCCAUGUCAAUGAGAUGAAACAUGGAAUGAUUUUUUUCUUAAUUCCAUCUUAAUUAAUAGAACAGCUGUAACUCUAUACCUACAUUGCGAUUAGUUUUAGGUGAUAUAAACAACCGUUAGAUGAAUAAAACUAUUAUACUCUGUAGCAACAGGUUACGACAGUAUAAUAAAUAAA